rnacentral:misc_RNA from 1 species
GAUGAAGAACGUAGCGAAAUGCGAUAAGUAAUGUGAAUUGCAGAAUUCAGUGAAUCAUCGAAUCUUUGAACGCACAUUGCGCCCGCCAGUAUUCUGGCGGGCAUGCCUGUUCGAGCGUCAUUACAACCCUCAGGCCCCCGGGCCUGGCGUUGGGGAUCGGCGGAGCCCCCCGUGGGCACACGCCGUCCCCCAAAUACAGUGGCGGUCCCGCCGCAGCUUCCAUCGCGUAGUAGCUAACACCUCGCGACUGGAGAGCGGCGCGGCCACGCCGUAAAACACCCAACUCUUCUGAAGUUACCUCGAAUCAGGUAGGAAUACCCGCUGAACUUAAGCAUAUCAAUAAGCGGAGGA